ensembl:lncRNA
UUUUUUUUUUUUUUUUGCAUAAUUUGAAAGGCUUUUCAAACAGAACUUAGUUUUCUUGAAUAGAGGGCAAUAGGAUCUCUCUUGAUGUAAUCAGAGGCAGCACUAAUCCUCUCCAGUUAGUGGCGGUCUCAACGUGUAUAACUUUGGAUAUUUUACCUGUGUCUUUCUGACUCUAAAGAUAAUUUAAAGAGAACAUUCAACAAAUUAAAAAGGAAAUUCAUAUUCAGGAAUAUAGUUCAAAAAGCACUACCUCCUGCAUCAACAAUGUGGACAAGAGAAAGUGAGCAUUUUUGGACACAGUUAAUAUCAUCCUCAAUAUACCUGGAAGCAAUAAACCAAGCCUGCAGCUUGUAUGGAUCAGUACAGCUGCACUAAUUCCAGCAGUAACAGGUCAAUUUGCAUGACCUAACAAUCUGGCACAAAUCUGUUAUGAGUUUUUCAAGCUUUAGUUUUUGACAUAUAACUAGCUUAGAGAAGAGACGACAUGAGUUGACUCAAACAUAGCAUUUGUGGUGGUACACAUCCAUCAAAAGUUUACAGAUCUGAAAAAUAAAAAACAAGCUCCAGUGCUAGGGUUCUAAAAUCUAGUUAAAGAUAAUACACUAACUACUUUUGAAAAGACCAAAAUGGAACAGCAUUUUUUCUAAACUACAAUGAUUUAUACAUACAUAACUCUAUUUUCUUGUGUACUCACAGGGGGAGAAAUUUAAAGUUAGAACAUGGGAAACAAGGUACCUCACUGAUUUUAAGUCCAACAUUUAAAUAUUUCUGAGGUUCACAAAGCCCUGCAGGCACCACAGUUCACUCUAAGUUAUGCUGCGAAAGCUUGCAGAGGAAAAGAAACCUUUAUCCCAGAACACCCUAUGGCACCAUAAUCAUGACAUGCUACCAUGCUCAGAGCAAGCCUGAGCCACAGCCCCCAUGAGGCAUGGGUCAUUAGUGAAAGGGGAAAGCAGUACUACUUUACUCUCUCUUUACCCAUCCUUCUUCCAUUUUUGAAAAGUGGACCUUUCUCUAAAAAAUGAGAAGUGUAAGGCCAAAUUUUAGGAUCCUGAGAAGGCACAGAUGCUACCUUGCUGUUUAGACUAGAUGCCUAAAUUCCCAGGAGUUAAAGCCUUAUGCCAUUACUGACCAGUUGAAAUUUUUGCCUACCUACUGUGCCAGUAUUCCAUAUUUCAAUCCUGGCCCUUCACAUACACUGUAUAUAAAAAUCUGCAUAUAAAAUAUAUAAAAUAUAUUUAAUUUCACUUGGCAAAGGGUAUGUAAAGAUUAGAAUUUAAACACACAUUACAAGGCUUCGAUUAUUCUCUGAAUCUAAGUUAAGUCUUGGAGAGAUCUGAAUAUAGACUUGAACAUUUUAGAAUAUAUUCUUUUUUUUUUCUUUUCAUUGACAUGCUCCCCUGGCCUUUUUUAAAAAAUUGUAUCCGAAAUUUUCUAUUGAAAUGGAAUUUAAUCACAAUGCACAUUUAUAUGCCUUAUACCGCUGACCAGAUUAUUAACCUAAAAUAUUAAUCAGAAAGCAAUACCUCAUAGUUCUUCUGACAUGUCAGAGUCCCAGAUUGAGCCUCCUAUCUAAAGCAGGAAUUGGAAAAUUGCUGAAGCAUUUACAUGUCUCAAAAGUAAUUCAAAACUCAAGGACGCAAGGACAAGGAAAAGCCUUUCCAACACCC